CUUGGAGGUUUUGAGAGAAGAAGAAGCUUGGUGUUUGAUUGGUGUUGUUUAGGAUUGGGAGAAAAUUCCAGGUGCCCAAGGGGGACUAGCUGGCGAAACAUCUUCGAAGAGGAAGGAAAUCGCCGACCAGUGUGCGCGUCUACAUGCAAGAUGACAUGUUCUGAGUUUGUGAACCUUGCGAGGACUCGAGGGUUGAGUGGUGGGUGUCCCUCCUCGGGUUGUCGCGGUAAUUGUCACGUGGUGGCUCGCGGGUCGGGGCGUAACACUUUUAAUUUCCACCCACCAAGGCAAAUAUCAAGUGAAUAUUUCUAACAUUACAUGCUAAUCCAUAAACACCAAGCACCAUUUAAUGCUUCAUUUGAAAUAUAAACCUCCUUUGUGAUGUGGUGCAAGACAUGACUUCAAAAGUAGGGCUUUCUUGGUCACUGUGCAGAACUUUUUUUUCUGGUUUGAUAUUUUUCUACUAUUGGUGGUGGUGGUCUCCAUCAAUUCAGGUUGGGUUGUGCAACCAAUUAUGAAGGAAAGAAGCCAAUGUG